UUAAGCGACUAAGCGUACACGGUGGAUGCCCUGGCAGUCAGAGGCGAUGAAGGACGUGCUAAUCUGCGAUAAGCGUCGGUAAGGUGAUAUGAACCGUUAUAACCGGCGAUUUCCGAAUGGGGAAACCCAGUGUGUUUCGACACACUAUCAUUAACUGAAUCCAUAGGUUAAUGAGGCGAACCGGGGGAACUGAAACAUCUAAGUACCCCGAGGAAAAGAAAUCAACCGAGAUUCCCCCAGUAGCGGCGAGCGAACGGGGAGCAGCCCAGAGCCUGAAUCAGUGUGUGUGUUAGUGGAAGCGUCUGGAAAGGCGCGCGAUACAGGGUGACAGCCCCGUACACAAAAAUGCACAUGCUGUGAGCUCGAUGAGUAGGGCGGGACACGUGGUAUCCUGUCUGAAUAUGGGGGGACCAUCCUCCAAGGCUAAAUACUCCUGACUGACCGAUAGUGAACCAGUACCGUGAGGGAAAGGCGAAAAGAACCCCGGCGAGGGGAGUGAAAAAGAACCUGAAACCGUGUACGUACAAGCAGUGGGAGCACGCUUAGGCGUGUGACUGCGUACCUUUUGUAUAAUGGGUCAGCGACUUAUAUUCUGUAGCAAGGUUAACCGAAUAGGGGAGCCGAAGGGAAACCGAGUCUUAACUGGGCGUUAAGUUGCAGGGUAUAGACCCGAAACCCGGUGAUCUAGCCAUGGGCAGGUUGAAGGUUGGGUAACACUAACUGGAGGACCGAACCGACUAAUGUUGAAAAAUUAGCGGAUGACUUGUGGCUGGGGGUGAAAGGCCAAUCAAACCGGGAGAUAGCUGGUUCUCCCCGAAAGCUAUUUAGGUAGCGCCUCGUGAAUUCAUCUCCGGGGGUAGAGCACUGUUUCGGCAAGGGGGUCAUCCCGACUUACCAACCCGAUGCAAACUGCGAAUACCGGAGAAUGUUAUCACGGGAGACACACGGCGGGUGCUAACGUCCGUCGUGAAGAGGGAAACAACCCAGACCGCCAGCUAAGGUCCCAAAGUCAUGGUUAAGUGGGAAACGAUGUGGGAAGGCCCAGACAGCCAGGAUGUUGGCUUAGAAGCAGCCAUCAUUUAAAGAAAGCGUAAUAGCUCACUGGUCGAGUCGGCCUGCGCGGAAGAUGUAACGGGGCUAAACCAUGCACCGAAGCUGCGGCAGCGACGCUUAUGCGUUGUUGGGUAGGGGAGCGUUCUGUAAGCCUGCGAAGGUGUGCUGUGAGGCAUGCUGGAGGUAUCAGAAGUGCGAAUGCUGACAUAAGUAACGAUAAAGCGGGUGAAAAGCCCGCUCGCCGGAAGACCAAGGGUUCCUGUCCAACGUUAAUCGGGGCAGGGUGAGUCGACCCCUAAGGCGAGGCCGAAAGGCGUAGUCGAUGGGAAACAGGUUAAUAUUCCUGUACUUGGUGUUACUGCGAAGGGGGGACGGAGAAGGCUAUGUUGGCCGGGCGACGGUUGUCCCGGUUUAAGCGUGUAGGCUGGUUUUCCAGGCAAAUCCGGAAAAUCAAGGCUGAGGCGUGAUGACGAGGCACUACGGUGCUGAAGCAACAAAUGCCCUGCUUCCAGGAAAAGCCUCUAAGCAUCAGGUAACAUCAAAUCGUACCCCAAACCGACACAGGUGGUCAGGUAGAGAAUACCAAGGCGCUUGAGAGAACUCGGGUGAAGGAACUAGGCAAAAUGGUGCCGUAACUUCGGGAGAAGGCACGCUGAUAUGUAGGUGAAGCGACUUGCUCGUGGAGCUGAAAUCAGUCGAAGAUACCAGCUGGCUGCAACUGUUUAUUAAAAACACAGCACUGUGCAAACACGAAAGUGGACGUAUACGGUGUGACGCCUGCCCGGUGCCGGAAGGUUAAUUGAUGGGGUUAGCGCAAGCGAAGCUCUUGAUCGAAGCCCCGGUAAACGGCGGCCGUAACUAUAACGGUCCUAAGGUAGCGAAAUUCCUUGUCGGGUAAGUUCCGACCUGCACGAAUGGCGUAAUGAUGGCCAGGCUGUCUCCACCCGAGACUCAGUGAAAUUGAACUCGCUGUGAAGAUGCAGUGUACCCGCGGCAAGACGGAAAGACCCCGUGAACCUUUACUAUAGCUUGACACUGAACAUUGAGCCUUGAUGUGUAGGAUAGGUGGGAGGCUUAGAAGUGUGGACGCCAGUCUGCAUGGAGCCGACCUUGAAAUACCACCCUUUAAUGUUUGAUGUUCUAACGUUGACCCGUAAUCCGGGUUGCGGACAGUGUCUGGUGGGUAGUUUGACUGGGGCGGUCUCCUCCUAAAGAGUAACGGAGGAGCACGAAGGUUGGCUAAUCCUGGUCGGACAUCAGGAGGUUAGUGCAAUGGCAUAAGCCAGCUUGACUGCGAGCGUGACGGCGCGAGCAGGUGCGAAAGCAGGUCAUAGUGAUCCGGUGGUUCUGAAUGGAAGGGCCAUCGCUCAACGGAUAAAAGGUACUCCGGGGAUAACAGGCUGAUACCGCCCAAGAGUUCAUAUCGACGGCGGUGUUUGGCACCUCGAUGUCGGCUCAUCACAUCCUGGGGCUGAAGUAGGUCCCAAGGGUAUGGCUGUUCGCCAUUUAAAGUGGUACGCGAGCUGGGUUUAGAACGUCGUGAGACAGUUCGGUCCCUAUCUGCCGUGGGCGCUGGAGAACUGAGGGGGGCUGCUCCUAGUACGAGAGGACCGGAGUGGACGCAUCACUGGUGUUCGGGUUGUCAUGCCAAUGGCACUGCCCGGUAGCUAAAUGCGGAAGAGAUAAGUGCUGAAAGCAUCUAAGCACGAAACUUGCCCCGAGAUGAGUUCUCCCUGACUCCUUGAGAGUCCUGAAGGAACGUUGAAGACGACGACGUUGAUAGGCCGGGUGUGUAAGCGCAGCGAUGCGUUGAGCUAACCGGUACUAAUGAACCGUGAGGCUUAACCUU
rnacentral:rRNA from 1 species